ACAGAGCUGCAGUAUAUUCCACAGCAGCACUGAGACUGUGAGCUGAGUGGUUUAAAAAGGAAACAGGGGAGGACAGUGUUUUCCUUCUGGCUGCUCUCUGGGAUUCACAGUUUAAUUUUUGCAUUCAAGGUUAGAUUGAGGGAGAUGGCGGAGACAGCAGAAUGUGAGGAAUUUAGCAACUAUUGGCCGAAUGCCAACAUCUUCAGAGAGAGAGGCCAAGAUAUGAGCAGCGCUGCAUUCCAGCCUGCUCUGCUGUGUCGAGGCGGACAGGUUAGAAAGGCCG